rnacentral:rRNA from 1 species
GAGUUUGAUCCUGGCUCAGGAUGAACGCUGGCGGCGUGCCUAGCACAUGCAAGUCGAACGGAGCUUAGAGAGCUUGCUUUUUAAGCUUAGUGGCGAACGGGUGAGUAACGCGUGAGUAACCUUCCCUAGAGUGGGGGACAACAGUUAGAAAUGACUGCUAAUACCGCAUAAGACCACGGUACCGCAUGGUACAGUGGGAAAAACUCCGGUGGUAUGAGAUGGACCCGCGUCUGAUUAGCUGGUUGGUGAGGUAACGGCUCACCAAGGCGACGAUCAGUAGCCGGCUUGAGAGAGUGAACGGCCACAUUGGGACUGAGACACGGCCCAAACUCCUACGGGAGGCAGCAGUGGGGAAUAUUGCACAAUGGGGGAAACCCUGACCGAGCAACGCCGCGUGAGUGAAGAAGGUUUUCGGAUCGUAAAACUCUGUUGUAAGUCAAGAACGAGUGUGAGAGUGGAAAGUUCACACUGUGACGGUAGCUUACCAGAAAGGGACGGCUAACUACGUGCCAGCAGCCGCGGUAAUAC